rnacentral:rRNA from 1 species
CCUACGGGUGGCAGCAGUGGGGAAUAUUGCACAAUGGGGGGAACCCUGAUGCAGCGACGCCGCGUGAGUGAAGAAGUAUUUCGGUAUGUAAAGCUCUAUCAGCAGGGAAGAAAAUGACGGUACCUGACUAAGAAGCCCCGGCUAACUACGUGCCAGCAGCCGCGGUACUACGUAGGGGGCAAGCGUUAUCCGGAUUUACUGGGUGUAAAGGGAGAGCAGACGGCUGUGCAAGUCUGGAGUGAAAGGCGGGGGCCCAACCCCCGGACUGCUCUGGAAACUGUAAAGCGGGAGUGCAGGAGAGGUAAGCGGAAUUCCUAGGGUAGCGGUGAAAUGCGUAGAUAUUAGGAGGAACACCAGUGGCGAAGGCGGCUUACUGGACUGCAACUGACGUUGAGGCUCGAAAGCGUGGGGAGCAAACAGGAUUAGAUACCCUUGUAGUC